rnacentral:piRNA from 1 species
UCCAAAAUACUAGCGAAUCUAAAAUAAAAU